CGGGCUCCACGGGGAGCCGCUGCUGCCGCUCGGGCGGGAGGGACCCCCCAGCCGCUUCCAGGAGCUGUACGGGGGGCAGCUGCCUCCUCUCGACCGGGAGGUGCUCCGGCUCCAGCCCUGCUGCUUCCAGCGGCUGCACAGGGAGCAGCAGCCCCCGGCCUUCGACCCACGAGGUAGGAAACCUUGCUUUUCCAAAAGGUCAGGAAAAGUGACCGCUUAAGUAUUUUUCCACGAGGCUCUGUCUUUCUCGGUCAGAAAUUGUCAAGCCUAUUAGGAAGCGGCACCUCGAAGGCUGCCAAAAAAUUCUCUGCCUGCUUUUCCUGCAUGCUUCCUGUGAUGGUUGAUCCGAGGCAGCAGUAGAGAUCUGUGUCCCAGAGCCACAUUGUGGAGCCUGACCAACGUGUUUGGAUUCUUGCAGCCACCCCGGGCACUUCUGCACCCAGCGCUCCAGCUGGCAGUGCUGCUUGUGCAGCAUCGACGGCCUCCAGCUCAGGACACAACGCACCUGGGGCAGAGGGAUGGCCACCAGCAGAUCUCGGCCUUGCUGUAUUGCAAAUGAUCCGGGAGAUCAGGAGAUCCCUGCCCGAAAGGUCUGCCUCUGCUCAGGAUGAUGUUAGUGUCGCCCCUGAGUCUUCAGGAGGUGAGCCUGUGGACAGAGCUGCAGCAGAGGAAAUUUCAUCUGGCACCGAGAGCUGCAGGAACAGUUCCCCAGAGCCCGAGGAGCCUGAUCCCAUGUGAUCGACCUCUCCAGGAGAGCUGCCCAGUGUGGCAGGAAGAGACAGAGGGAGAGCCUGGAACAUCGGGCAAGUUGAAUUCCUCUGUCUCUAGUUAUAUUUAUAGAUGUAUAUAGUUAUGUUUAUUUAUCUAGGUAGUUGUAUUGCUAGAUUUAUGUAACUAUAUUUAUAUAUCUAUACAGACAGAGAUCUGUACAGUUAAAUUAUUUUUCGUUUUAUAUGUUUAUGGUUAAGCUUUAGAUGUGUUGUUAUAGGUGUGCACAGUUGCAUUUAUAGCUCUGUAGAGUUACAUGUACAUAUAUAUAUUUGUAAAUGCAUUUUUCUAUUUUAUAAGGGGGUUUGGCUACGUAGAUUGUUAUGUGUGAGCCUCUUUUUAAGCUCUUGCCCUGGUCUGCUUCCUCGCUCACCUCUGGCUUUUCCCCCUGUGUCCCCUGUGUCCCCUCUCCCUGGGCUGGGUCCGAGCUGGCGGCCGGGCCGGGCACAGCAGCAGUUCCAGCCCCGGAUCUCCCUGGAGCGGUUGGAGCUGCCGGUGGCCCCAGGCACUGUCCCCUGAGGAGCUGCUGAAGGACGCUGCAAUGAAGACCACGAGGACCGCCGGAGACUGCCGGGAGCCAGCAGGGAGAAGCCGAGGGCCAGCAGCAGGAGCAGGGAGCGGGGCCCUGCUGCUGCCAGCCUGGAGAGAGCCCGGAUGUCCCAUCUGCUGUCCCUGUCCAGGAGAGCUGCUCUGCCCGGGAGGAAGAGGCCGCAGGAGAGGCUUUGAAGAUGGGGCAGCUGGGGUCCCUUUUCUUUCCGUUAUAUAUCUGUUUAUAUAUAUAGUGUAUAUUAUGUAAUAUUUCAUUUCUGUUUACAUGUGUAGAUUGUUAUAUAGGUAUUUAUAUAUAUAACAAUAUAUAUUUUUUACAUAUAAAUAUUUCUGUGUGUGUGUGUUUAGUACUAUUUAAACAUGUAUGGAGUCAUAUAGUUGUACAGUUCUAUCGAUAAGGUUCUUGGUACAAGGUUCCUUGGGGAGGGAAUGCAUAUUUUUGUAUUUCUAUAUGGGCUGUACACUUGUCGUAAUAUGUAAUAAAUUAGGUUGUUAAAGUCCUAA